CCCGCUGAACUUAAGCAUAUCAAUAAGCGGAGGAAAAGAAACCAACAGGGAUUGCCCCAGUAACGGCGAGUGAAGCGGCAACAGCUCAAAUUUGAAAUCUGGUCCCCCCCGCGGGGCCCGAGUUGUAAUUUGCAGAGGAUGCUUUUGGCGCGGCGCCUUCCGAGUUCCCUGGAACGGGACGCCAUAGAGGGUGAGAGCCCCGUCUGGUCGGACGCCUAGCCUCUGUAAAGCUCCUUCGACGAGUCGAGUAGUUUGGGAAUGCUGCUCUAAAUGGGAGGUAUAUGUCUUCUAAAGCUAAAUACCGGCCAGAGACCGAUAGCGCACAAGUAGAGUGAUCGAAAGAUGAAAAGCACUUUGAAAAGAGGGUUAAACAGUACGUGAAAUUGUUGAAAGGGAAGCGCUUGUGACCAGACUCGGUCGCGGCGGAUCAUCCGGCGUUCUCGCCGGUGCACUCCGCCGCGCUCGGGCCAGCAUCGGUUCGCGGCGGGGGAUAAAGGCCUCGGGAACGUAGCUCCCUCGGGAGUGUUAUAGCCCGUGGCGCAAUACCCCGCGGCGGACCGAGGUUCGCGCUCCGCAAGGAUGCUGGCGUAAUGGUCACCAGCGACCCGUCUUGAAACACGGACCAAGGAGUCGUCUUCGUAUGCGAGUGUUCGGGUGUCAAACCCCUACGCGUAAUGAAAGUGAACGCAGGUGAGAGCUUCGGCGCAUCAUCGACCGAUCCUGAUGUUCUCGGAUGGAUUUGAGUAAGAGCAUACGGGGCCGGACCCGAAAGAAGGUGAACUAUGCCUGUAUAGGGUGAAGCCAGAGGAAACUCUGGUGGAGGCUCGCAGCGGUUCUGACGUGCAAAUCGAUCGUCAAAUAUGGGCAUGGGGGCGAAAGACUAAUCGAACCUUCUAGUAGCUGGUUUCCGCCGAAGUUUCCCUCAGGAUAGCAGUGUUGAGCUCAGUUUUAUGAGGUAAAGCGAAUGAUUAGGGACCCGGGGGCGCUCUUUAGCCUUCAUCCAUUCUCAAACUUUAAAUAUGUAAGAAGCCCUUGUUACUUAAUUGAACGUGGGCAUUCGAAUGUAUCAACACUAGUGGGCCAUUUUUGGUAAGCAGAACUGGCGAUGCGGGAUGAACCGAACGCGAGGUUAAGGUGCCGGAGUGGACGCUCAUCAGACACCACAAAAGGCGUUAGUACAUCUUGACAGCAGGACGGUGGCCAUGGAAGUCGGAAUCCGCUAAGGACUGUGUAACAACUCACCUGCCGAAUGUACUAGCCCUGAAAAUGGAUGGCGCUCAAGCGUCCCACCCAUACCUCGCCCUCGGGGUAGAAACGAAGCCCCGAGGAGUAGGCGGACGUGGGGGUCAGUGACGAAGCCUAGGGCGUGAGCCCGGGUCGAACGGCCUCUAGUGCAGAUCUUGGUGGUAGUAGCAAAUACUUCAAUGAGAACUUGAAGGACCGAAGUGGGGAAAGGUUCCAUGUGAACAGCGGUUGGACAUGGGUUAGUCGAUCCUAAGCCAUAGGGAAGUUCCGUUUCAAAGGCGCACUCUCGCGCCGUCUGGCGAAAGGGGAGCCGGUCAAUAUUCCGGCACCUGGAUGUGGGUUUUGCGCGGCAACGCAACCGAACGCGGAGACGACGGCGGGGGCCCCGAGCAGAGUUCUCUUUUCUUCUUAACGGUCUCUCACCCUGAAAUCGGUUUGUCCGGAGCUAGGGUUUAACGGCCGGAAGAGCCCAGCACCUCUGCUGGGUUCGGUGCGCUCCCGACGUCCCUUGAAAAUCCGCGGGAGGGAAUAAUUCUCACGCCAGGUCGUACUCAUAACCGCAGCAGGUCUCCAAGGUGAACAGCCUCUGGUU
rfam:Hirsutella minnesotensis 3608 unplaced genomic scaffold MNSD_Scf_29, whole genome shotgun sequence.